UCAAUCUCUCACCCAGGUACUGCCAGAGCGUCUUCUCACCCAGGAGCUCUGGGACAGACUGAAACAGCUCGGAGCUCCCCAUGCUGCCUCCUCACCCACCCUGCCAAGCCAUGGCCACAAUCCUGAGCAGUCCGAAUGGCUCUUGAGAAUGCUGAGCUGUACGCCACCUCCAAGGAGCCACAUCCCUACUGCAUUCCGUGCACCAAGGUGGCUAACGGAGGUGGAGGUGUCCUGAAUGGCCCCGCCAGGGCCGCCGCAUCGAAGCCCACGACUAUGUCUUCAGAGUCCCUGGUACUGACAGAGAAGGCUUUGAGGACCAUGUGGCGCCAAGACCUCCUUCUGCGGUUUCAGUGAAAAGACGAUGAACUCCUUCAUCUUCUACAGCAGCUGGACUUCACCACAGUGCACCAAGGACUGGACCUGCACUCUAUCUUUACCCCUUCCGACACCAGAUGCUGAGAUGCCACACUCUGAGUGUGCCUGCCCCUGAGGGCCUCCACAAAUGGGAAAAGCUUCAGACCUAUUUUGGUUCAGACGCCCGUGAUGGUGAAUUUGACCUACUACAUCCUGACUUUAUUCACUACCUGAGAGAGGUUUUUGAAGUUCAGUUUGCUUAAUAGGGAUCCCAGAGACAGGUACAUGGCUAGCACUGGGGCCCUCAACUUGCUGACAGCUUUGCAUAUCUGUGAUCAGGUUAGCAGUGAUCAUUGAUUUAUCACGGAAAUUACUGGCAAUUUUCUGGCCACUAUUUUGAAUGAACAAGGAAGCCACUGAUCAUUUAUCUAAACCACAAUCUGUGAAUUCAGGCACUUGCACAAAGCUGAUAUCAUUCAGCU
rnacentral:lncRNA from 1 species